rnacentral:rRNA from 1 species
GAAACGAUAGAGUGAGUCUACUUAUAUACUGAGUUCCGCUAUUCUUGGUAGUCUUUGUUUGACUUUCGACCACCCUCUUCUGUCCUUUACCGCUGUCUCUUCCACAACUCGCUGCUGUUGGACGACCUCCUCUAGGAGGAGGCCGAGCUGGAGGGGUGGACGGAGCAGGCGCGGAGGGAGCGGACGAGGGCGACCGAGACGCGGCAGAGGGCCGGCCGGAAGGAGGCGGCGAAGGCGUCCGAAGUGCGCGGGGCAGAGGAGCCGAAGAUGCAGCAGCCGCUGCCGCAGGGCGCGGUUCUGAAGCACGGCCAGGGGUCGGGAGGACUCGACCGGCGGCAGGAGGCGGCACGGUCGAGACCGGAGCUGCGGAUGAGGCUAAAGAGCAAGUGGUAGCUGCUGACGGCGUUGCCGGCGGAGGAGCAGCUACCGAUGUCUCAGCCGCCGUGAGUCCACCAGUCGGGCGACGACGUAGCCGUCGUGGUGGACCGCGGCCGCGAUCAGGAAGGCGGAGGCGGCGGCCGGUCGGAGCUGCCCCAGAGUGUGCCGAUGUGGAAGGAGGGCCUCCUGCCGCCGCUGCCGCGCAGCAUGGUGGCGCACCUAGACCUCGUGGUGCCAGCCGUCCAGAGCCGCGUCCACAGCUGCGAACCUAGGCCGCGGACCUGCCAGGUCUAGCGGUUUCGCCUCGAGGGCCUCGGCGGCCUGUCUUAGGGGCUGGAUUGGCACGAGGAGGCGCCGUUCGAGAUGUACCACUGGUGCCGGCCUAUGUAGGAGCCCAAUCUGAACCGGCGCCGCUCGAAGAAGCACCAGGUCGAGGGCCUGCCGCAGUGCAUGGUCAUGAAGCCGUCGGACCAGGACAGGGCUCCUAUGCUGCUGGUGGUGGUGCUGCCACUAGUGGAGAUGGAAAAGGUACACCACCUAUCCAAAGUCGACGUCCAGACCGCGGCGGCCGGGACCUGCUGCCGCCGUCUACUGCUCCGGGUCACCCAAGAACACGUGUCGUAGACAGACGCGUUCCGCACGCCGGUAGAACACGUCGUCUGCGAACAUCCAAAGAGCCACCAGCCCCAGCCCCUGUUGCGGCUCAAGCGGAAGAACCUCCUCCUAUCACCGCGGAAGCAGAACGACACCGAUCCCUCGUCCUGUCACCUCUUCCACAUGGUCUCCCUGGGCCUGUUGCUACUUGAGUAGUAGCACAUAGGUCAAUGGUACCAGACCGGCGGACACAAGGGAGGUGUAGUUCGUUCGUCUCGUUUCAAGUCCUUGGACCUUCUCCGUCUCGUUUCGAUUCGGACCGAUUUCUUACCAAGUCACUAAAAAUGUCAUAAAAAAUCACUGACUUUCAAGUGAACACUACUACUAGGAAAAUACAUAGGAACGUAUUUUUGUAGAAGACUUAAUUUUAAGUCUCAACGUGGUCACUCGGACAAGAAAUUAACUGUCACCAAGUCACUAAAAAUGUCAUUAAAAAUCACUGACUUUCAAGUGAACACUACUACUAGGAAAAUACAUAGAAACGUAUUUUUGUAGAAGACUUACUUUUAAGGCUCAACGUGGUCACUCGAACAAGAAAUUAAUUAUCCAAUUCUGCGGUGUUGAAGACGUUGACGUUCGUCCCGUUAAUAAGGGCAUAGAUCGAGUCAGUUCCUUAUGAGUAAUCGUUCCUCAGUAAGACGCGGAGGUGGACAAUUUCUUGUUCGAGCGGCCACCGUUCUAAGCUGGUGUGUAGCAGUUACCUUUCUCUUAAGUCUCUAGCCUCCGACGGCUACGUGGACAGCACCUUAGGACGGUGACUAUAUUAACGAGCCGCUGUCUAGCUAUUACAACCCGUUCGGUGGCAAUCUUCUACUAUAGAGUGACCUCUUCGAUAGCAAUUGAGUAACAAGUUGUCCCGCUCCGAGGUACUAAAAAAAACUCUGUUUCUUUAUAUAACUAAUUCGUCUAAACAAUGUUAGUCUCCGAUCUUGUAGAGAGUC